rnacentral:tRNA from 1 species
GGGGUUGUGGCUCAGUGGUAGAGUGCUUGCCUAGCAUGCAUGAGACACUGGGUUCGAUCCUCGCCACCAUA